GAGGGGCCCGCGUCGGAUUAGGUAGUUGGUGGGGUAACGGCCUACCAAGCCAUCGAUCCGUAGCUGGUCUGAGAGGAUGAUCAGCCACACUGGGACUGAGAUACGGCCCAGACUCCUACGGGAGGCAGCAGUGGGGAAUAUUGGACAAUGGGGGCAACCCUGAUCCAGCAAUGCCGCGUGAGUGAUGAAGGCCUUCGGGUUGUAAAGCUCUUUCGGCGGGGAAGAUGAUGACGGUACCCGCAGAAGAAGCCCCGGCUAACUUCGUGCCAGCAGCCGCGGUAAGACGUAGGGGGCCAGCGUUGUUCGGAAUUACUGGGUGUAAAGGGUUCGUAGGCGGUGUAGCAAGUCGGGAGUGAAAUCUUUGGGCUUAACCCAGAGGCUGCUUCCGAAACUGCUGUGCUUGAGUGUGGGAGAGGCGCGUGGAAUUGCAGGUGUGGCGGUGAAAUGCGUAGAUAUCUGCAGG
rnacentral:rRNA from 1 species